AUUGAACGCUGGCGGCAUGCCUUACACAUGCAAGUCGAACGGCAGCACGGGGGGUAACCCCCUGGUGGCGAGUGGCGGACGGGUGAGUAAUACAUCGGAACGUAUCCUGUAGCGGGGGAUAACCUCUCGAAAGAGAGGCUAAUACCGCAUACGACCUACGGGUGAAAGAGGGGGAUCGCAAGACCUCUCACUAUUGGAGCGGCCGAUGUCGGAUUAGCUAGUUGGUAGGGGUAAAAGCCUACCAAGGCUACGAUCCGUAGCUGGUCUGAGAGGACGACCAGCCACACUGGAACUGAGACACGGUCCAGACUCCUACGGGAGGCAGCAGUGGGGAAUUUUGGACAAUGGGCGCAAGCCUGAUCCAGCCAUGCCGCGUGGGUGAAGAAGGCCU
rnacentral:rRNA from 1 species